AACGCACAUUGCGCCCCUUGGUAUUCCAUGGGGCAUGCCUGUUCGAGCGUCAUUGACACCCUCAAGCUCUGCUUGGUGUUGGGGCCGUUGUCGUUUCCUCGCCCUCCAGCGACACAGCGACACCCCUCAAAGUCAUUGGCGGCCUUUCUGCCCAGCUUCCCGCGCAGAAGUUCGCGCUUUGGAGACUACUUUGGCAGGCUGGCAUCCAUCAAGCUGACCCUUCAUGCUUGACCUCGGAUCAGGUAGGGAUACCCGCUGAACUUAA
rnacentral:misc_RNA from 1 species